CUGCAUAAAGCAGAGAAGCUGCCAGCGCUCGCAGUCAGCCUGGAGCAGGCAACGCAGCUGAGCGCCUUUCUAUGUGCGAGUGCAUAUUUAUUUAACAAUUAUUGCAGUUAUUUAUGACUUGCAGUACAAUUAGAAAUGUCUUCUCUCGCUAGGGAAAUACAUAAUUGAUAUACAGUCAUUAACGACCGUUCGAUUUCCAUCUCAUUUUCUGGAUCCAAAAGAGAGUCCGAGAUUACCUCUCUCACCGACAGACCCAUGCUGUCAAACCGAGCCAGAGGUCCCUCUGCAGUUCAUUGUCUCAGGUGUAGAACACAGUGGAUUGUGUGCGAAUAGUAAACAGACGUUUCCUGAGACGUUUCAUCUGUCGUACUGCAGGUACAGUAUAGCACCACCUCCGGCUCACUGUGACCUCAGUGAAGAAAGGGCCUCCCGUCCGCUACUGCUGACUAAUAAAGGUGACAGGCUGGUGAACGGCACUGCCUGGGAAGACAUGGAGUUCAGACAGGGUAACUCUGUCCAGGCGUGGAUAAAGCGAUCCCUGCGGAUCUUCCAGAAAACGCCUCCCUUAAGCUGCGACGCUGAGAUGGGGAAGCCUGCUCCUGCAGCUGUGGUAGGCUGGUCCUGGCAGCGAGUCUCGCUGGUCCUCGUCGUCCUGCUGGCUCUGGCUGUGAUGGUACUGCUGCUCUUCUGGAACUACCAGUGCAUCAUCAUCCAGCGCGUCUGCCAAGCCCAGGAGGAGCGCUCACCCUUCCCCGUCUUCGCGCCACAGUCCGAGCUGCCACAGGACGCAGCCGAGCAGGGCUAGAGCAGGGAACGAACAGGAGGAGCGGAGAGAGCUGCAGCUUCGUGUGGGUGUGAAGGCAACUGUGCUCUAAACUAAGAGUACAAUUAAACUGGAAUCAAACAGCACCUUCGCCAAAUUUGUAUCUCCAAGAUAGUGCAAGCACAUGGAAUAGUGCUCUGCUUGUGACGCUCAUGAGAAAUGUUUCCGUAGGGGGAUACCAGAAUUAUACAUUGGCUAAACGGUUUGUUGUAACUGAUUCAAAGUUCAGAACUUUACAGACGUUCAGAAUAUCAUUCAACGAGUGUUAUUAUUCAUAGGAAGAGUAAUUGCUAGCUGGAUGUUGCAUUUUGUACUCCCUCAUUUUUCAACAGGCAACUUUAAAAACGAACAUCUGAAGGAUCCCUCUUUGAGAGUGAAUCAUCAUUCAAUUCUGUACAUAUAUCACUAGUUGGAAUUGCACUGAAUUCUGCUGGUACAGUAUAUGGGUGUAAGUUAGGGUACAACCUGAAUGGGACACUAGUCGAUUGCAGACCACACACAUGUGGGGGAAAACUGAGUUCUGUCACUUGACCUAGACUGCAUGUCUUUGGAAGGAAUUUACAGCACUCAGAGUAAACUCACGUGCCCAUGUGAGGUGCAGGAGAAUUCAAGCUCCACAAACGGGGGCCCACAGGCUACAGUUCAGCCCAGUAAUCAAGAGCUGUGAGGUGGCAGCAGGACUCACCCCCAGACCUGGACCCCCUAGGUCUGAAUAUAUUCCAAAUCUGUUCUUGGUGACACAGAAGAACAGAAGGUGAAGGCACUGAGCAUAUUUUAAUCCUGAUCAUCAUUUCUGGCAUGAGUACCAGGAUGAACAAAAAGCUUCACAUUUUAAUUAUUAUUUUUUGUUUGUAAAAACACUAGAUGUUCGGUGGCAAGAUGAUGUCUUGGUUAGAGCUGCUGCCUCUAGAGUUCCUGGGUGUUAGGGGUGAUUCUGGGUGUUGUUUGCAUGUUCUCCCCAUGUGUGUAUGGGUUUUCUGGUGGACUGGUCCAGGUUAAAUACUGUCUCUAAACUGUUCUCUGCAAACAUGUGUGAGUAGAUGUGUUUGUGUACCAGGAUGAACUGAUCUCCUAUCCUGUGCCUCAUUGCUGUAUCCCAUGCAUGGAUGGAUGAAGAACUGCACAGCCCAAGGUUUAGCUUAUGCAGUGAAUUUUACAAUACUAGUUUAUCUAAUUUAGACUGUGGCACUCUAAACGUACAUACCAUAGUCAUCCGCUGAGGUUCUUUUGUCUUUGUUACAUUAAGCCUUUUAAAACACAUAUUUUCCAAAUGACAAAUCUGAUUUUUAAGAUUGUGUAUUUGUAUGUUACAAAUGGAUCAUGUGCACAACAAUGUUUAAUGUAGGUUAAUAAAACUUGUAUUGUUGAACUUACCUGAUCAUGUCAUUCGUUUCUUGUUUCAUUUUAGAAAAAAUAUUACCGGCAGGUAGUGCUUCUAGUUUUGAGUAUUAAAUGCAAUUCAAUAGUUUGAAGAACAAAUACACUUUAAAAAUGUCAUAUGUGCUAUAGAAUAACUAAACUGUUGGAGCAUUGUUGUGAGAUUUAUGCCAACACUACAGCUGACAAAAGCACAAUGAUGACUAAUGGAUGGGGGGUGUAGCAUUAACUCAUUGUUUUACCAUAAAGAAUAACAAACCUAAACCCUGUAAAUUUAAUAAAAAAGGCCAAUAAAUAUAACCAACCACA